UGCCUUUAUGUGUUGCCCGUUCAGCGUUUCUAUCGUGAAACGGGUGUCAGCUAAGGCAGACAGAGACUCUUGUGGUCGUCUUUGGGAGGAGUCACCGGUGACUCCCCUGACAGGAUGAACUACAAGGACACGU
rnacentral:snoRNA from 1 species